rnacentral:tRNA from 1 species
CGCGGGAUGGAGCAGUGGUAGCUCGUCGGGCUCAUAACCCGAAGGUCACAGGUUCGAGUCCUGUUCCCGCAACCA